AUUCUAGAGAUUUUUCUAAAGUACAAAUAGACAUAACAAAACGAAAUCAAAAAUAAGAAAUAGAAAUAAGAUAGAACUUAAUUCUAUAAACGAAAACAAUUAUGCACUGUUCAUUCAAUUGGAAUGUAUCAGUACACUGUACGAGACAGAACGAUCAGUGACAAGAAAAAUGUUUGCAAAAUAUUUGUUCGUGUUCACGUUGGUGAUGCUAUGCUUAGCAUUGACUUUUGGAGAAGAAGUGUCGGCAGAAUAUCAGAAAUGCAUCGCUGAUUGCCAACGUAAAAACGAAGAAAUAAAAAGAAAUAUGAGCCAUGGACGAACUCACCGUGCAAUAUGGUGUCACGGCGUUUGUAGUAAAAAGAAUUAAUCAAGUUUUACGUUAUCAAAAUUGAGUAUAUAUUGAUCAAGAGAUGUAAAUGAAUUUGCAUUAAUUAAUAAAAGUAUUUGAUAAUAUUUUAUGAUACUGUAUUUCAAUAUUUUCUUAAAUUAACUGUAUUCAACAGUCACGCAAUGUAACUAAU